AAAAUGUAUUUGCUUAAAAUAGUAAAAAUAAUAACAAUGGUUAAUAUUAUUGUUGUUGUUGCUCGAGUGUGUGUGUACUGUUUAGUAGACAAAAUUUCUGUCACCACUCAUUCACACAGAGAUACGCCGACAAUGAAGAUCUAGUAUCAAAAGUUUAUUUUUGAUAUCAUGGAUUUCUUUUUUCUGAUAAAUAUCAAUAUUGAUUCAAUUCAAACGGUUAAAGGAAAUACUCAGUGUGUCAGAAAUCACUUUACAUUUUUGCAUGCUGUAGGCCAGGCGAGGUGGGGAAAAGAAAGCACAUCUGCCACAUAGCAGGCUGUGAAAAGACCUUUCGAAAGACUUCCCUGUUGCGGGCGCAUGUCCGACUGCACACGGGAGAGAGGCCCUUUGUGUGCAGCUGGGUCUUCUGCGGAAAACGAUUCACACGCAGUGAUGAGCUGCAACGACACGCCAGGACACACACAGGAGACAAACGUUUUGAGUGCAGUAAGUGUCAGAAACGUUUCAUGCGGAGUGACCACCUCACGAAGCAUUACAAAACACACAUCAACACAAAGAGCCUGUGAACAUCGUCUAUCACAGGGUUUCAAGACCUUUGGGGGGGAUGAGAAAGAAAAACGCUGCUCCCGGGGCUUGAAGGAUGGGAGGAAACAGAGGUCAACCUGCCUUCAAAUGUACGAUGUGGCCCUGGAAAGUCUCCUGUUUUCACCAGCUGUUUCAGGGUAAACUACACUCCCGCUGUCCACAUUUUUACUCACCCUCAUCAACAGAGGAAGGCUGGCUGGCCGUAAAGUGUGGCUCUCAACUGAGAUUCAUGAAGAACAAGGAUGCCAGUUGUGUCUUGGCUUGAUUCCUCUGGUAUACGGAGCGGAAAAGAUGCCUGUCUCAGCAGCAACAGACACUUCAGCCAAAAAAAAGAAGAAAAGAAGUUACUUUCCCUCAUCAUUUACUUUUUUUCCCCACUUGUUUUAGCUAAACCAAGCCCCUCACAUGAAGUGUAGCAGCUAAUGGACAGUGUUUCCUGGCUUUUAUUGUGUAAAUGUUUGUUUUCUUACAUACAAACAUACAUUUGUACAUAUUCUGGCAAAUUUGAAUACAAAAGUGACGCUUUGGACAAACAAUUUGACCCAGUUAAAUUAUAUUCAGUUGUUAAAUGAUUUUUUUUAAAGUCUGCUUUGGAAUUGUAAACAGAAGCUUGAGAUUUUGUAUGAUUUUGGUUGAUUGUUUUUAAUAUUAGUAGAGGUUUUGGAAAAGAAUAUUUUGGCUUUUACAAUCAUGUCUUGUAUAGAGGUGAUAAACAAGAGAGUAAAUAUGUUGGGACUUGCUACAUGUUGAAAGGUUGAUCAUCACAUAAAAUAAGGAAUUAAUUAUAAUUUUUUUGAAAGAAGCUUAAAUGGCAUUUAAUGUAUGCAGGUUGUGUCUUUGUUAAAAGAUUGCAAAUGUGUCCAUUCAAAAAUGUAGAUAAAAACUCACGUUUAUGUUCUCGUGUAAAGCAGGAAAAAAAUUAUCUCACAAAGUAGGACAAAAUAUGAUGAAAAUGUGAUUGUGGUUACAUUAUACCAACUAAAAUGUUUUAUUUCAUUUAAGGUACAUGUAAAGUGGCUACAUGCUGAUGGAUUUAAUGGUUAGUUAAAUUCAGUCAUUCCAUUUAAGUUCAUCUAAGCUUUUGUCCAAGCUCUCUAAAAGAGGCCUUAAGAAGAAAAGAAAUCUGUGCUUAUGUAUGUUUGUAUAGUGUCUAUUGUAUUUGGGUGUAAAAUGUAGGAUAAUUGUUACACAAAUGUGUAUUGGCUAUUGUUGCCAAACAUGAAAUAUGUGGACUGUACAGUGUAAAUGAGAAGGGAAAAAAGCAGCAUUGUAUAGUUUCAUUCCUGUAAUAUGUAAGACUAAUAGAUUACCCUUUUUAUUGACUAAAAGUUGCCUUAGUCUGCAGCACCCCAUAUUUAAAGAGAUUUGUCUUUUUCCAGGGAACUGCAUUUGUAGACCUGCUUUAUUUUUUCUUUUAUUAUUAUUUUUUGUCUAACUUAUAAAGUGUUAAGAAAUGUCAAUUUAUGUGCACUGACCAAAUUCAGGGUUUUCACUGAGUGGAUAAUUUAAUUGUUUGGUUCAUGUACCUACAUCUGAUUUGACCGAAGAAAAGUUCUUUAGCUACCCUUGAUAAACCCCACAUUUAAAGAGCCCUGGCUUUGAAAAUCGGUAGAUAACCCUGUGUUUGUAUAACUUGUA
ensembl:lncRNA